rnacentral:rRNA from 1 species
UCGCUAGUAGCGGCGAGCGAGCGGGAAGAGCUCAAAUUUAUAAUCUGGCACCUUCGGUGUCCGAGUUGUAAUCUCUAGAAGUGUUUUCCGCGUUGGACCGCACACAAGUCUGUUGGAAUACAGCGGCAUAGUGGUGAAACCCCCGUAUAUGGUGCGGACGCCCAGCGCUUUGUGAUACACUUUCAAUGAGUCGAGUUGUUUGGGAAUGCAGCUCAAAUUGGGUGGUAAAUUCCAUCUAAAGCUAAAUAUUGGCGAGAGACCGAUAGCGAACAAGUACCGUGAGGGAAAGAUGAAAAGCACUUUGGAAAGAGAGUUAACAGUACGUGAAAUUGUUGGAAGGGAAACGCUUGAAGUCAGACUUGCUUGCCGGAGCUUGCUUCGGUUUGCAGGCCAGCAUCAGUUUUCCGGGGUGGAUAAUGACGGUUUGAAGGUAGCAGUCUCGGCUGUGUUAUAGCUUUCCGUUGGAUACAUCCUGGGGGACUGAGGAACGCAGCGUGCUUUUUGCGAAAGACUCGUCUUUUUCACGCUUAGGAUGCUGGUGGAAUGGCUUUAAACGACCCGUCUUGAACACGGACCA